AUACGGAGGAUGCGAGCGUUAUCCGGAUUCAUUGGGUUUAAAGGGAGCGUAGAUGGGAGCUUAAGCCAGUUGUGAAAAGCGCGGGCCCAACCCGCGUCGUGCAAUUGGAACUGUGCUCCUUGAGUGGGUUCGGGGCAGGUGGAAUUCGUGGUGUAGCGGUGAAAUGCUUAGAUAUCACGAAGAACUCCGACAGCGUAGGCAUCCUGCCAGGCCCUUACUGACAUUGAAGCUCGAAGGUGCGGGUAUCAAACAGGAUUAGAUACCCUGGUAGUCCGCACGGUAAACGAUGGAUGCCCGCUGUCGGCGACAGACAGUCGGCGGCCAAGCGAAAGCGUUAAGCAUCCCACCUGGGGAGUACGCCGGCAACGGUGAAACUCAAAUGAAUUGGCGGGG
rnacentral:rRNA from 1 species